rnacentral:lncRNA from 1 species
GAUGUUAGCUCAAGUGCCAAUCUUUAAAAAACAAAGAGCUUGAUCAGCUACAGGAGGAGUGACUGGAGGUUUCAGAGCAAGGUGGAGAGUGGUGAAUACGUAGGCGGGGGUUUGAUCUUAUAAGACGUUGUGUGAAGGUUAAGGAGUUUCGAUUUUAUUCCAAGUGAAACAGGAAACCAUGGAAGGGUUUUAAGAAAGAAAAUGGCUGGUUCAAAGUAUAUGUUAGGAUUACUUUUGCCUCUGUGUGUCCAGUGGGUUGGAGUGGGGCAAUGGUGGAAGGGAGAGCAGGGAGGAGGCAUCCAGUAAUCUAGCUAAGAGAAAAUGGUCACCUGGUAUGCCGUGGUGCAGAGGAAAAAAGAAGUGUUGGUAGAUUCCGGAUGCAUUUUUGGAGGUAUUCCAAAGAGGCUCCCGGAUUCAGCAAUUUUCAAAUGUUGGAAAUGUCUAGCCCUCAUGGCAAGAGGAGUAAUUUUGAAAAAUUGGGCCAUUUAGCAUACGUGUCACAUUAUAGCAGGUGGCAACCCUGGAUUUCUCCUAAGUAUGAAGUCAGCCCUCUUUAUGGACUCACUCUGAUAGUAACAAUAUAAACACAUGCGUGAGGGCCGAACUAGCACAG